GGCGCCCCUUGUUAGC
rnacentral:tRNA from 1 species